UACGUAGGGGGCAAGCGUUGUCCGGAAUCAUUGGGCGUAAAGAGCGUGUAGGCGGCCAGAAAAGUCCGCUGUGAAAACUCGAGGCUCAACUUCGAGCUGUCGGUGGAAACUUUCUGACUAGAGUGCGGUAGGGGAGACUGGAAUUCCUGGUGUAGCGGUGAAAUGCGCAGAUAUCAGGAGGAACACCAGUGGCGAAGGCGGGUCUCUGGGCCGUAACUGACGCUGAGGAGCGAAAGCGUGGGGAGCGAACAGG
rnacentral:rRNA from 1 species